rnacentral:rRNA from 1 species
UCCUCCCUCUUUCUUCGUGCUUAACACAUGCAAGUCGAACGGAAAGGCCCUGCUUUUGUGGGGUUCUCGAUUGGCGAACGGGUGAGUAACACGUGUGUAACCUGCCCUUGACUUUCGGAUAACUUCAGGAAACUGGGGCUAAUACCCGAUAGGAUCUCCUGCUGCAUGUUGGGCGUUGGAAAGUUUCGGCGGUUGGGGCUGGAUUCGCUGCUUACCAGCUUGUUUGUCGGGUAGUUGCUUACCAAGGCUUUGACGGGUAGCCCGCCUGAGAGGGUGGCCGGCGACCUUGGGCCUGAGAUAGGGACCAGUCUGCUACGGGCGGCAACAGUGGGGAAUAUUGCACAACGGGCGGAAGCGUGAUACAGCGGCGUCGCGUGCGGAAUGCCGGGUUUCGGGGUAUAAACAGCUUUCGCCUGUGACAAAGCGUGAGUGACGGUAAUGGGUAAAGAAGCAACGGCUAACUACGUG